GGGUCUCAGAGUAACACUCCCAUACCAUUUGUUAACCUACCCAGUUAUGCCUCGGCGUAAGCUCGGUUGGAGGCACCUGCAGCUACCCUGUAGUUGCACCCGCAGCUACCCUGUAGUUGUUGGUGCAGCUACCCUGUAGUUGCGGACUGCCAACUCCAGCCGCGGCCCGCCGGCGGUACACUAAACUCUGUUUUAUUUUAUAUUCUGAGCGUCUUAUUUUAAUAAGUUAAAACUUUCAACAACGGAUCUCUUGGUUCUGGCAUCGAUGAAGAACGCAGCGAAAUGCGAUAAGUAAUGUGAAUUGCAGAAUUCAGUGAAUCAUCGAAUCUUUGAACGCACAUUGCGCCCAUCAGUAUUCUGGUGGGCAUGCCUGUUCGAGCGUCAUUUCAACCCUUAAGCCUAGCUUAGUGUUGGGAAUCUGCUGUACUGCAGUUCCUUAAAGACAGUGGCGGAGCGGCGGUAGUCCUCUGAGCGUAGUAAUUUAUUUCUCGCUUUUGUCAGGCUCUGUCCUCCCGCCAUAAAACCCCCAAUUUUUUAGUGGUUGACCUCGGAUCAGGUAGGAAUACCCGCUGAACUUAAGCAUAUCAUAA
rnacentral:rRNA from 1 species